rnacentral:pre_miRNA from 14 species
CUUUCUACACAGGUUGGGAUUUGUCGCAAUGCUGUGUUUCUGUAUAGUAUUGCACUUGUCCCGGCCUGUUGAGUUUGG